rnacentral:rRNA from 1 species
GAUGAACGCUGGCGGCGUGCCUAAUACAUGCAAGUAGAACGCUGAAGGAGGAGCUUGCUCUUCUGGAUGAGUUGCGAACGGGUGAGUAACGCGUAGGUAACCUGCCUGGUAGCGGGGGAUAACUAUUGGAAACGAUAGCUAAUACCGCAUGACAACAGUUAUUGCAUGAUAACUGUUUAAAAGGGGCAACUGCUCCACUACCAGAUGGACCUGCGUUGUAUUAGCUAGUUGGUGAGGUAACGGCUCACCAAGGCGACGAUACUUAGCCGACCUGAGAGGGUGAUCGGCCACACUGGGACUGAGACACGGCCCAGACUCCUACGGGAGGCAGCAGUAGGGAAUCUUCGGCAAUGGACGGAAGUCUGACCGAGCAACGCCGCGUGAGUGAAGAAGGGUUUCGGAUCGUAAAGCUCUGUUGUAAGAGAAGAACGAGUGUGAGAGUGGAAAGUUCACACUGUGACGGUAUCUUACCAGAAAGGGACGGCUAACUACGUG